rnacentral:rRNA from 1 species
CAGUCGCCGCGGGAAUACGUAGGUGGCAAGCGUUGUCCGGAAUUAUUGGGCGUAAAGGGCUCGCAGGCGGUAUCUUAAGUCUGAUGUGAAAGCCCCCGGCUCAACCGGGGAGGGUCAUUGGAAACUGGGAAACUUGAGUGCAGAAGAGGAGAGUGGAAUUCCACGUGUAGCAGUGAAAUGCGUAGAGAUGUGGAGGAACACCAGUGGCGAAGGCGACUCUCUGGUCUGUAACUGACGCUGAGGAGCGAAAGCGUGGGGAGCGAACAGGAUUAGAUACCCGGGUAGUCCCUGUCUCUUAUAC